UAAUCCAAGUUUGAAACUUCCUCCACUUAACCACCAUUUCUCCUUCAGUUCUUCUCUCUCUCUCUCUCUCUCUCACUCUCGAUGCAUCAGAGAAAGAGCUGCCCCUUCCAUCACCCUCAUCUAUAUCUUUAAAGAAACUACCUAUAACAGACUCAAAAUGCGGCCUUUGUGGCCGUUCUUGAUCUUGGCAGUUCUGCUGCCUGUGUCGGUGGUUUACUGUGCUACUCUUCUCCCUCUUCACAGGGCUUUUCCUUUGAACCACAGACUCCAACUUGACCAACUCAGGGCUCGGGACAGACUCAGGCAUGCCCGCCUCUUGCAGGGCUUUGUUGGCGGUGUCGUCGACUUCUCAGUUCAAGGCUCUUCCGAUCCCUAUCUCGUCGGACUCUAUUUUACAAAAGUGAAAUUGGGCUCUCCUCCAAGAGAAUUUAAUGUGCAGAUUGAUACAGGAAGCGAUGUCUUGUGGGUUACCUGCAGUUCCUGCAGCAAUUGCCCACAAUCCAGUGGCCUUGGAAUUCAGCUCAAUUACUUCGAUACUGCCAGCUCGUCAACUGCUGGGCUAGUCCCAUGUUCCCACCCCAUUUGUACUUCAGAAAUUCAAACCACAGCAACUCAGUGCUCUCAGAGUAAUCAGUGCAGUUACUCAUUCCAAUAUGGAGAUGGAAGUGGGACAACGGGUUACUAUGUAUCUGAUACAUUUUAUUUUGAUGCUGUUGUGGGAGAGUCCUUGAUUGCUAACUCUUCAGCCAGCAUUAACUUUGGAUGUAGCACCUUCCAGUCUGGGGACUUGACUAAGACAGAUAAAGCAGUUGAUGGAAUAUUUGGAUUUGGCCAAGGUGAUCUCUCUGUCAUAUCACAACUGUCAUCGCAUGGGAUAACACCAAGAGUAUUCUCUCAUUGCUUGAAAGGUGAGGGCAGUGGUGGUGGCAUUUUGGUACUUGGUGAGAUUUUGGAGCCAGGAAUAGUUUAUAGUCCCCUUGUGCCAUCACAGCCUCAUUAUAAUUUAAAUCUUCAGAGUAUAGCUGUCAAUGGACAAUUGUUACCCAUUGAUCCAGCAGCAUUUGCAACAUCAAGUAAUCGAGGAACUAUUGUCGACUCUGGAACAACUUUGGCAUAUCUUGUGGAAGAGGCUUAUGAUCCUUUUGUCAGUGCUGUAACUGCUAUGGUCCAACCAUCUGUAACUCCCAUGAUAUCUAAAGGAAGCCAGUGUUAUCUAGUCUCCAACAGUGUAUCUGAGGUAUUUCCUCCAGUCAGUUUAAAUUUUGCUGGUGGUGCAUCUAUGCUGUUAAAGCCAGAAGAAUAUCUUAUAAAUCUUGGUUUCUAUCAGGGUGGAGCUGCAUUGUGGUGCAUUGGUUUUCAGAAGGUUCAAGGAGGAGUAACAAUUUUAGGAGGUUAAGAGCCUGACCUGGCCAAGUGUACCACAAAUUGUUCAGUCAUAUUGUAUCAGAAUUGCAUAAAUUUGCUAUUUAUCUCACUUGUUUCUACCUCCUUAUUCUUGGGUAUCAGCAUUCCAUGGGAGUCUUUUUUUGCCCUUCAAUUUUUUCCAUGAUCUUGUUCUGAAGGAUAAAGUUUUUGUCUAUGAUUUGGCUCGUCAACGGAUUGGAUGGGCUAACUAUGACUGCUCAUCAUCUGUGAAUGUCUCUUUAACAUCUAGCAAGGAUUUCAUCAAUUCAGGACAACUGAGUGUGAGCAGCUCGUCGAGAGACAUGCUCUUCAAGCUGCUACCUCUGAGCAUCACGUCUCUCCUAAUGCACAUAUUAGCAUCGACUAAUUUCCAGUUUUUGUAAUUAAACCUCAGGUUUGAAAUUCAAUUCUUUGUCCAGUUGGAAUUGGCUUAGCCAGCUUUUAUUUAUAGUGGUGGCCAGGCAAGUCCUUUACUUGGAUUACAGUGGUAGCUGUUGCUGUUACAUAAUUCUUCUCUAGUUCCGAUUGCUGAUUCUGGGGCUUCUUCCAUACUCGAGUCCUGCCGGAAUUGUAAAUUAUCUUUGCAUUGGGUUGGGUGCUGUAUCAUUACCAGGUUGUUAAGUAGAAGAUAAUAUUUUGUCCCAGGAGAAAACAGAUCUUCUGUGGGGACAAACCUUUGGGAUAGGUAGAGAUAUAGAAAGAAUAUUGUCCAAGCUAGUCAAUAUUUUCUUAUUAUUUGCGUGCUUCUUUUGUUACUUGUUGGAUAUCUUUGUAAGUGUUCAUUUCUGUGAGGUUUCUAUUCUGAUUCAAGAGUUGUAAUUCUAUGUUUCUCAAAUGAAAUACAUGAAGCUUAGCCAUUGUAUGCCUUUUA